rnacentral:rRNA from 1 species
AGUGAACGCUGGCGGCAGGCCUAAUACAUGCAAGUCGAACGGCAGCACAGUGGAGCUUGCUCCAUGGGUGGCGAGUGGCGGACGGGUGAGGAAUACAUGGGAAUCUGCCCAGUCGUGGGGGAUAACGUAUGGAAACGUACGCUAAUACCGCAUGCGCCCUUCGGGGAAAGUCGAGGACCGCAAGGCCUGACGCGAUUGGAUGAGCCCAUGUUCGAUUAGCUAGUUGGCGGGGUAACGGCCCACCAAGGCGACGAUCGAUAGCUGGUCUGAGAGGAUGAUCAGCCACACUGGAACUGAGACACGGUCCAGACUCCUACGGGAGGCAGCAGUAGGGAAUAUUGGACAAUGGGCGCAAGCCUGAUCCAGCCAUGCCGCGUGAGUGAAGAAGGCCCUCGGGUUGUAAAGCUCUUUUGUUGGGGAAGAAAAGCAGUUGGUUAAUACCGAUUGUUCUG